UAGAAGUUUUGAUCAUUUUUCACUCCUGAGUCAUAUAAGCUGUUCCACACCUUCCAAUGUGGUCCACAUAUUAGCUGUGUCAGCAUUGUAUUUUCUUCCCCCUGGAACCAAAAUUUAGCAAUAAACUCCAGAGGCAAAGUGGCGUAUAGUUAAUGGCAUUCAAUCUAAGCUUAUUGCACAUCGACCUUGAAUGCUGCCAAGUCUCUAACAUGUGCUGACAAUACUGGCAUCGUUGCUAAGCUACCUAUUAUUAAUCUUUGCAAGGAAAAAUGAAGAGGUCAGAAUGUGUUGAAGGUGUGUUUAUUAGGGAGCUCUGAUGGAGGAUCUCAUUUGAAAGCCUGGAUAUUUCACCCUGUUUACUGUUCAGAAAAACGUCACAUUUUUGUAAUUAUUUUAAACUGUUCAGUAUUCACAAUUUGGGGCAGUGACUGCAUCUUAACUUAAAAGAGAGGGAGAGAAAAAUAAAUAAAUAACUAUAAAAUUUAAACAACGUGUGUCCACAAUCAGGACAAUCAUAACUGGAUGUUCCAGUGACUAGUGACUGUCAGAAAAUUCUCCAUACUUACUACCUAUCUGUUCUUCUGACUUGUUUUUUUUUUUCUUUUUUAAGGGAUCAAAGUUGGAUAAAGAAACAAGGCACAUUCUAUUUAUCAAUAAAUCAUCAAGAACUGACACAAAGCCCAAUGAAUGGGACGUGUGCACACACACAACAUGAAAAGGGGAACUCAGAGUCCUUUGAAAGAAGAAAAGGCCAGGAUAAGAGCAAAAACUGCCCUGGUGUCACUUCCCCACAAAGUAAAGUGAUGUGGGAGGCAAAGAGGAGGUGGAGUGUACGUUUUCAAAGAGAUGUGAACAAGUGGGAGCUUUGUAAUUUGCAAGAUGCAGAUAAAUAAUUGUCUGAUGUUGACUUCAUCGAUUCAAGCCCAUAGAGAAUGCACUAGAUAAUGUGCAAUUUGAAAAGUGUGUUGAAUCUUGACAACAAUAGGAGGAUCACACACAAUCUAUGUAUUUCUGUAUCCGUUGUUUGGUCCACUCUAGUAAUCAAGUAUUUUGCUAAAUCUGAAAUAUAUGGGUUCAAAUAAGUUGUUAAAUGGUAUUGUUGACACUUUGUGAAAUUUAUGUGCAUGGUCCAUAGUUCCAUGUAUCAAAAAACCCUAAGCUUUGUAGCUGUUCAUCUUUAUAGCAGACACACUCAGACCAAUGGAUAAUAGAAAAAAAACUGGCAGUAUGUCAGCAGGGAAAGAUGCCAUUUACCAACUUAAAAUGAAAGAUAAACCAACAGCAAAUUGCUCUGAAAACUCAGGAUUGGUGUGGGAGGACUCAUUGUGCCUAACUCCUCACACACACAAGCAUUACAAAUUUGAAAGUUCAUCUUGAACUUGAAUGUUUAGCUUAGGAAAGCAGGUGAGGAGAAAAAACAUUCUCCCCCCUGCCCCCAAAAAGUGAAAAGUAAUCCUAUAGAAAAAUAAAGGAAACAUGAAUAUAACA
rnacentral:lncRNA from 1 species